AUUUGGCUGCGCGCAUGCUUGCUGGCUGGAGGUACUUGCAGCUAUAAAGAAUCAUGAUUUGGCACUUACUAAAAUACCGCGUCUACAUUUUUUAUGAUUGACGCUGCGCUAUAACUAUAGGAGUUUGAUUCAUUACUUAAUGGCCUCAAAAUGGAUACAGGAUCUGUUGGAAUCAAGAAGGCGUUAAGGUAGCCCACUUGAUCUACUUUAGCUCCAUGCUUUAUUAAUGGCCAGCUUACUUACUUUGAUAUACAACACUUACGUUGAUUGACAUCAACUCCACGAUUCAACUAGCAUAGUGAUGUGAAAUAUUCAUGCAGUGUGUCGAAACUGUUUCAAAAAAUCAAAUAAAUGGACCUGCGUCGAAAGGGUAGCGCUGCUACUUGGUUAAGUCAAACAUUAAUGUCGAUGCACAUGUCAAAACUGUAGGAUUGCAAUUUAUAUUUUGUUGGAAGAUGGCAGACUUUAUUUUUUCUACACAAGGGCUAUCAAGGCUGCUGUGUACUAUAGCACCUGUACUUUUCCUCAUUCAAGGAGAUUGAACCUGAUGCAUUUCUAUGCAAGAGAAUUUAAAUUAUGUCUGAUCUGUACCAGGACGACGUCAAAAGCAAAAGGAACUAAGGAAGGGUUCUCGAGGUCUGCUCCUUCUCCACCGGUAGAGAGGAGCCUCCUUCUCAUGAUUCGCCUGUCUGCCCGGGCCCUCCCUGGCUAGAGCUGACGCCAUGGAAGGUCCCUUACCCCUCUUUCUCCUCUCUUCUGUUCCUUCUUUGUUAUGGGCGCAGUCAAUUUUUUUUAUUCUUUCUCUCUUUCCGAUUUAAACAUGAGCAUGCCCGUGCUCUCUUUUUGGUUGUGGUAGCUGUCAUAUCAUGUUGCAGUUUUAGUUACAUUUUUUGGUCCCAUGUAUAUCCAAAUCAAAAAACACUUGUGGUUUGGUACAGUUAUAUUGCAAGUCGAAAAAUAUUAUAUGUGUUAACAUCGGAUGGUCCAAGUUGAAAUUCAGUUUGUAUUAUUCAAUAUGCAUUCUAACAAACAUGUUCUGUUUGGCAUCAUACUAUCAUUCAACUUAAAAGAUGCUUAACCGGUUAACCCAAUUUAAAAUCUUAGGGAGACGCUUAUUUUGGGAUGGAGGGAGUACUUUGUAUUGAAUCAUAUCUAUAUUGUGCUUGCCCCUAAAUUGUUGCUUUACACUAAACCACUAUUACUAUAUUAUGCAUUGAUAUGAGUUUUUGACGCUUUCGACUGAAAAUCAAGUUUUUCAUGGAGAUUAUGCCCUUAUGUGAGUCUCCAGGCCUUGCUGAGUAUUUUUAUUGUUGUGAAGGCAUCAUCAUAGAUGAUUGUAGUUACAUUGCCUCCUUCACACUUACAUC
rnacentral:lncRNA from 1 species